ACUCAAAUGAAUUGACGGGGGCCCGCACAAGCGGAGGAACAUGUGGUUUAAUUCGAUGAUACGCGAGGAACCUUACCCGGGCUUGAAAUGCGGACGAUCGGGGGUGAAAGCCCCCUUCCAGCAAUGGCGUCCGCGUAGGUGCUGCAUGGUUGUCGUCAGCUCGUGCCGUGAGGUGUCGGCUUAAGUGCCAUAACGAGCGCAACCCCUGCCCGCAGUUGCCAGCAUUCAGUUGGGGACUCUGCGGGGACUGCCACCGCAAGGUGCGAGGAAGGCGGGGAUGACGUCAAAUCAGCACGGCCCUUACGUCCGGGGCGACACACGUGUUACAAUGGGCGGUACAGAGGGAGGCCAGGCGGCGACGCCGAGCAGAUCCCAAAAAACCGCUCUCAGUUCGGAUCGGAGUCUGCAACUCGACUCCGUGAAGCUGGAUUCGCUAGUAAUCGCGCAUCAGCCAUGGCGCGGUGAAUACGUUCCCGGGCCUUGUACACACCGCCCGU
rnacentral:rRNA from 1 species